GUCGGGGGCGCCCGCGGGGCGGGGGGGACGCGCCGGGAUCCCGCGGCGGGAGCGGCCCGGCGGCUCCGCCGCCCUCACGGGGCUCCCGGCGGCGGCACGGGGCGGAGACCUCGCGGCGCGGCUGCCGGGGCUGCGGCGGGGGCGGCAGGUGACAGGUCGGUGGUCUCCUGGCUCCGCAGGCGCCGCCGGGGUGAGUGAGGGCCCGGCCAGGCCACAGCGCCGCCCUCACGGCCUCUCGCCCCCGUGGCGCGCGCCUCACCUGUUCUCCUCCUUCUACCUCCUUCAUUCCUGAAUUAAUUCAUUUUGAAUUAAUUAACUUUUUUACUGAAUUUAACCUUUGUUGGUACUGUCGCAAAAUGUGGAAUAUGUAGAAAUUUUCUUAAGGAUGUUGUGUGAUAUUUGAUGAGCGUGUGCUUUCAAGCCUUGGCAAGAAGAAGGGAGGUUUAAUCCCUGAAACAAAUAGCAGCUCACAAGCUCUAAGUGAUGUCCAGGUGUUAGAGAAACAAGUUGCUGUUGGUAGAGUUGCCUUGUUAAGGUUGAGCCCUGGACAUGCUUCAUGAUCUCAGGCUCAGAAGGAGUUUAGCAAAGCCUGGGGAAAAGCAUGUGCUGGUGCUGGUGGACACAGGAAAUGCACAAUUGAUGGGCAACAAAGACACGGGGCAGGACUGCCAGCGUGGGGAAUGAACUAAUAAACCCAAUCUGGUAAUUGUAUGAAUCAACCCCAGCUGGGUGAUUCUGGCAGGGGGAGAUCACAGCCUCCAACUCAUGGACUGCUGACCCAAGAAACCACCAACCCAAAGGAAGAGAAACACUGAGCAGGGCACUAAUUAGCAUGAGAAGCAAGAGAAUCGUUAGCCAAUAGACGAUAGAACACUAAUUAAAAGAGAACUAUGUAAUAUGUAGCCAAUGAACACUGAUGGCUUAUUAAGAAAACCUUUUAAACCAUGUGUGAGAUACAGAUUAUUGAGAUUUUUUAUUGUGAGCAAUAUUGGACAUUGCUAGCACCCAGAAGUUGAUAAGGACAUUGUAUUCCUGUCUCUUUAACAAUUAAAUAAUCUAUCUGCUAAUUAAAACUUGGUCUUAAAGGAAAUCUCCACUUCCCAGUUUAUCUGAUUUGCACAAUUAUAGGCUGGUGCUGAACUGCAGCUGCAUUUCAGUGGUGACUGAAGUGAUCCUUAUAUAAACACUGUCCUUCAGCUGGCCUGAAAAAUACAGAAUAUUUGGAUUCAUUUAGGAAAUCCUAUCAGGUCUCUCUUAGAAAUCAUGGCACUCCAAGGACAGAGAGAUAAUUAAUGUGAUAAUUUAAUAAUUAAUGCUUUUCACUUAUGCAAUAAUCCUCAUCCUCAAGUCUAAAUUAAAAUAAUCCUUAUCCUGAAGUCUAAAAUAAUUCUAGUUGAUGAGUUGUUUUGUGAAAUUUCUCAAAGAAUUUAGGGUUUUUUAAUGACAAAAGAUGUUAUAUGUGAACUGUGAGCCUGGUGUGAAAUUUUAUAGUAGUUUUAAGAAGUAAUUUUAUCUUUAGAUAGCUACAAAUGAAAAGAAUGAAUAAUUGAAUCUUUUUUUAAUGGGGACAAAAUACAAUAAUAAAAAGCUAAUAGGAAUUUAUAUUAAAUUUUUAACGAGUUAUAAAUUCUAUUAUAGUCUCAAUAUAGAGCUGCAGGUGUCAGAGUUCCCCAGGUGUUGUGCACAAAACCCACUGUGAACAUACAGGUGUCCCAGAAGCAGGUGGGUCACAGCACAGAUGUGCUGUACAUGUGUGCAGCAGCUGAAAAUGCACAGAUUUCUCAGUGGGAUUUUCUAGAAAGACAGAAAAUAGAGAAAUAAUUUUACUACAUAAUAAAUAAAGAAUAAAUAUUAAUGGAAAGGCUAAGAAAUUCAAGUAAGGGGAAGACCUUAAAAGUUUGAGUUUGGUUUAGGAAUUAAGAUAUUUAUAAAAAUAAACUCAAUUUUUCUUUUUGCUCUCUGGUUUUUGAGGCUUUGCAAAGGCUGCCUUCUUGUUUUCAGGCUGAAGUUUAGAAAUUGUGGGUGUUUUUGUGUUGACUAAAGCUCUAUUUUCAUGUCACCCCAGUGCCAAACGCUCAGCCAGUCAGGAUAACCUCAAAUACCACGAGAACUCCAGUGGCAUGGCAAAAGUACUGUAACUUCUUUUACAUUGUACAUUUCCAUAGCAUGGUAUAAAAUGAACUUGUUCAAGCAUUUUAAUGGAAACAGAUAUGUUUGUGUCAUUGUGUGAUUCUUCUAGUAAAUCAAGGAGUGAUGAAAGUAUCUGAACUUCAACAGAACUUCAACAUGCAACAGAAAAUUCUUUUAGACCACUGUGUGAAGUAUUCUAUGAGAAAUAGAUCCUGUCACUACAAUAGAUCAUAAAUCAGCCAUGUUUUAAAUUAUGUUUAAAUCUCAGUGAUGCUGAAAUCUCUGCCUGCUGCAGGUUUCCUGAGGCUGCUGCUACAAUGGACAGACAAGAGGGUGACAGUGAGAGCCACCAUUUAAAGCCAGAUCAACCCUGAUCUGAGACAUCUGAGCCUGUUCUCUGCAGUGUGUUGGAACCAGAGCAGGACAUUCUUCAGUUUGUUCAGGCUCUUGACUCUUGGGUUGGCCCAUCUUUGGGAAGACUUGAUUGUGGCCAGUGAACAGGAAAGAUGGAGAGAGACUGUUUCCAAGGGCUUGGAGUGAUAGGACAAGGGGAAAUGACUCCCCACUGCCAGAGGGCAGGGUUGGAUGGGAUGUUUGGAAGGAAUUGUUCCCUGUGAAGGAAACAGGGGCUCCAUGUGUUCACAGGAGGCCCUGUCAAAGGGUGCCCAGAGCAGCUGGGGCUGCUCCAUCACUGCAAGUGUCCAAGGCCAGGCUGGAAGGGGCUUGGAGCAACCUGGGAUAGUGGAAGGUGUCCCUGCCAGGACACUCCCUGGCAGGGAAUGGAACAAGAUUAUCUUCAAGGUCCCUUCCAGCCCAAACCAUUCCAUGAUACUGUGAUUUUACAUGAACUGUCUGUGUACUAAUGUGGCUAAAAAAGGCACUGCAGAUGACUCCGGCAGAACAGACCAAGAUAAAUGCCUGGAUAAGGCAGGGAGAAGAUAAGAUUGUUCCACACUAUUGUUUUUGAAUUGCUUUUUAAUACACCCCUGGAGUGUCUAUAUUCCAAUCUGCUGCACAAUCCUGCAUGAGACUAUUCCUCUUUAACCAGUGACAUUUAAAAAGGAACCACGAAACCCCCUCCACACGCAGGCUGCAGUUCAGUGAACUGGAUGAAUGAUCUUUGCACAUCCCCAUGGGCAUGCACAGCUGAAUAUAGAUCACCCAGAAAACCUGCCAGCUGUAUGGAGUGAGGCUGAGCACUCCUGCAAACCUGUCAGCCCCGUGGGUUUUGGCUGGGCACUCCUGCCUCUGCUCCAGUGUGGGGUCUCUGCAGAGAAUUCCAGCUGCAGGUGGAGCAGCCCUGCUGUGUGUUUUGGGCCAAACAUGAAUUAAUAACAACAAAUAAUCUUGUUUCUUUUCCACCGAGAAUCCAAACAGGACAGCUUUGGGAGAAGGGCAGAAGAAAACAUGGCUGUUGCAGAUGUUGUACCCACAAAGAAUAAUGAAAUUGUUAAUGCUGGAAAAGACCUCUAAGAUCACCAAAUCCAACCAUCAAUGCAGCACCACCAUCACCUUCACCACUAAGCCAUGUGGUGCUUUGGGCACUUCUUUGUCCUGGUUGUUGUCAUCGACUAUGAAGUGAUGUGGACAUGAGCAGCCAGUGGCCUUUUCUGUCCCAGAGAUGGGCAAAACUGUGAACACCUCUUAAUUUUAGAUGUUCUUGUACUGCAGACUCUUCAGAGGCAGGGCUGUAAUGCUGUAAGAAAACACAGGGAAUGUUUCAGUGGAAAAAGAAUUGCAGUGGCAUCUCCUCUCGGGCCCUGAGCAGGCAGGGAGACCCAGGGGCACUGAGGAGGUGGGUUUGUGUCCCAGCUCAGGGGCUGCUCUGGCUUUGUCCCUCCACGUGCUGGGUGGGAUUUGCAUUUCCCUGGCGCUGGUGAUGUCAGGAGCUGCCAGGACAAAAGGGAACAGGAGGCUUGGAAACAACAAGGAUCAAGGAAAGAGAAAAGCCAAGUUUUAAAAAGCGAGUGCUUAGUCACGGAGACACAGACACAGGAGGGCUGGCAGGGGCCUAUUUCCAUGCUGAAACUCCCCCUCAUUCCCAGACUUGCUCUGGCUGUGUUUGCUGUUGAGAUAACAUCCCCUUCCCCCACCACCCACAGAUAACUGAAGGAGCAGCCGUUGAAAAAGGAAAAAGAAAAAAAAAAAAAGAAAAAGGCAGUUGCCUUGCUCUGCCUGCAGGAGAAAUGUCAGGAAGUGUCUGGUGGUGGGUGGGAUGAAAGGAGGAAGCUGAACUCUAAAGAGAAUAUUCUAGCUCUGCUCAUGCAAAAAAAAGCCCCUCUGUAUUCUGCUUGAUAAAAACAUACAGGAGCAAGUCCUCCUGCCUGUAGGAGCUUGGAGUGACUUACACACCUCUGAGAGAUUUAUUUGUACAUGCUGCAUUACCCCCAGCACCCCAGGAACUGGAGGGGAAAAGAUGGAAACAGCUUGGGAAAAGCACAAACAUCAUCAAUAAUUAAUAGUUCCUUUUUUGUAAUAGGAACGAUCCAAUAUUAAUUAUGAAGUUAAUUUCUGUUUGAAUGGUUCGUGCCUGUGUAUGAAAUUUGGACCAGAAUUUAAGUUCAGUGCAAUCAUGCUUUUAUUCUAAUUACAAUAAUUAUAAAUCUAUUUUGCAUUCUCUUUUUAAGUCUCAAUAACACAGGCUUUGUUUUCCAAAUAUGCCAGACAGCAGUUUUUGCACACCAAAUAUGGCAGCUCUCAGCUCCCCAAAGUGAAUCUGGUUAUAAAUACAAAAGAAAUUGUUUUGAUUCAUUGUCAGUGUACCAAUGUGAAAAUAAGCCUAGAACAGGGGUCAAGAUAAGUACUUUGGAUUUCUGAAGUCACAGAGUCAACAGGGAGGAAAGAACUUAAUUGCACACAUCAUGAAAUAUUUAAACAGACAGUGACCAAUGUGCAGAUGUGGGAUGCAGACUUUUAUAGCUAAUUCUGUUACAAACAGCUGAUGCUGCUCUGUGUCAGGGACUCUGUAUCUUUCUUACUCUGGAGCCUUAAAAAUCAUCAGGGCACCAUUUUGAAGCUUAUUUUUUGUACUGGGUGAUCUGUUGGGAAAAAUUCUAUGGCAGAAGCACAAAACCCAGACAGAGAACUGAGUUUCUUAUUGAACUGUAGACCACCAGCUCGAUGCCCUCUUGGGACAUGGGUGUAUUGGUGGGUGGAGGUUGCCAUAAGAGCAAGCAGAAAAUUUCUCUUUGUUGCACUUGGUUUUCCUAUUACAGUCAUUAUCUAUUUUCCAGCUAUAUCCAUGCCUUUCUUGUGCUGCCAGGACAGACUUAUUGGAAAGUUUUUCUAAUGGAAAUCCAGUUUACAGACAGAAGUUUUAUGAAGGUUCAUGAGAGAUUCUUUUGUUGAAGCAGAAGAAAGGAGAUCUCAAGGAUAUGUCUGGAUUGACAGCUUUGUUGUGCAACUCUGCUGAGUAUUCCUGCAAGGCAGUGACAUCCUUAACUCCAAUUAACAUCACUGGGAAUGGAGGGCUCUUGGAGCCUCCUGGAAGACAGACCUGGCAUGCUGGACUGUCCAAUCACUGGCAGAGCAGCUACUGCUGAGAGUGGAGACUCAGGCAGCAAGAGGAGGGAAAGACCAGAUUAUCCAGAUUGUGUGAUCUUGUCAAGUCACAGAACUUCCCAGCCUCAGAGCUCUCUAUUUUUAAGCCUAUUGGCAUAUUUGUUGUGAUAUGGAGGAAAAACCUCUUGGAGAGCAGAUUUAAUUUGUGCUCAAGGAUCGGUGAAAACAGCACGAGAGGGAGAGGAGAACCCUCAUCAUUGAGUGCCAAGGAAAGUGGCUGUGAGCUGAAGAGCCACUGCAGCAGCUCUUGGCCCCUCCUGCCAUCCUGCCUCAGCUUCAGGUACCAGGUAAUGCUGUUGGCAUUUUGCUUCCUCCUUUAUUCUGUCAAAGGUCACACUUCUGCAUGACACUGUGGUGAGCCCCACAAUGAUUCAUCAUGUUCUGCAGGAAUCCCUAUUCUUCCAGGCAGGUUUAUCCCAGUGUACCACAGACUUGCAGCAGGGCAAGGUAUCUACCCUGCACCUUCUGGGUGCCUCCCUGCUCUGCUCUCCCCUCCCACUCCUCCCUUUGCUUCCUGAUUCUUAAAAUUCCUGAGCACCUCUAGUUCUGGGACAUACUGGAAUUUGUGCACACAGCCCUUAAACUGUUUUCUUCUGGUCAAAAUUUUCCAGGGAAUGCCCAGGGAGUGCAGACAUGGCAUCUCCUCCCAACGUUUAAUUGCUUCUUCAGUGGGAAGGGAUGUUAGUGGGAUUCGUGUUUGUUUGUACUUGGGACACUUACAGAACCUCAUGGGGUAAUUAUUCCUAAUUAGCAGCUUGGACACACGCUGCUCCUUCCUCCUACAAUCUGCAAUUAAUAAUACAGACAUAACUCAGAUUUCUCCUUGCCAGUCUUGUGUUUAUGUUUAUAAUAGGAGGAAACAGUUUAGGGAAAAAAAAUUAUCAGAAUCAAUCUCCUGCUGAGCUCCACACAGGGAUUACCCAAGGAUUAUCCUGUGCUUGUAGCAGCUGAGACAUUCAGAGCUUUGGGCACCUCUGUGUCUGCCUGAUUCCCUCUGUCAUAUUCCUCUAAGUUCUUUUCCUCAUUAGUCAUGGACUGCUUCUUACCAUGGCUUAAUUCAAGUUUUAGAUCAGUUGUACAGUAUGAAAAGUCCUCAGAAGUAGUAUCACUAAUGUUAUUUUUAAAUAGAUUAAUAUUUUGAGGACAAGAAAGGUCUGAAGUUCUUCCUUUUAUUCUUCUCUCUGUGGUCCCUAUUAAACUGAUCUAAUGUUUGCAUGCACUGAACAUCCCAAUAAACAGAUCAAUGUGAA